rnacentral:rRNA from 1 species
AUACGAAGGGGGCUAGCGUUGCUCGGAAUGACUGGGCGUAAAGGGCGUGUAGGCGGUUUACACAGUCAGAUGUGAAAUCCCCGGGCUUAACCUGGGAGCUGCAUUUGAUACGUGUAGACUAGAGUGUGAGAGAGGGUUGUGGAAUUCCCAGUGUAGAGGUGAAAUUCGUAGAUAUUGGGAAGAACCCCGAUUGCGAAAGCAGCAUGCUGGGGCAUAUCUGACGCUGAGUCACGAAAGUGCGGGUAUC